AGGACGAACGCUGGCGGCAUGCCUAAUACAUGCAAGUCGAACGAACACUUCGGUGUUAGUGGCGCACGGGUGCGUAACGCGUGGGAAUCUGCCCUUGGGUUCGGAAUAACAGUUGGAAACGACUGCUAAUACCGGAUGAUAUCGAAAGAUCAAAGAUUUAUCGCCCAGGGAUGAGCCCGCGUAGGAUUAGCUAGUUGGUGAGGUAAAGGCUCACCAAGGCGACGAUCCUUAGCUGGUCUGAGAGGAUGAUCAGCCACACUGGGACUGAGACACGGCCCAGACUCCUACGGGAGGCAGCAGUAGGGAAUAUUGGACAAUGGGCGCAAGCCUGAUCCAGCAAUGCCGCGUGAGUGAUGAAGGCCUUAGGGUGUAAAGCUCUUUACCCGAGAUGAUAAUGACAGUAUCGGAGAAUAAGCCCCGGACUAACUCCGUGCCAGCAGCCGC
rnacentral:rRNA from 1 species